AUUGAACGCUGGCGGCAUGCCUAAACACAUGCAAGUCGAAACGGUAACAGGGGCUUCGGCCCGCUGACGAGUGGCGGACGGGUGAGUAACGCGUAGGAAUCUUCCCAGUAGCGGGGGAUAGCUCGGCGAAAGCCGGAUUAAUACCGCAUACGCCUACGGGGAAAGGACGAGGGAGUCGCAAGACCUUGCACUAUUGGAUGAGCCUACGUCUGAUUAGCUAGUU
rnacentral:rRNA from 1 species